rnacentral:rRNA from 1 species
CCCGCUGAACUUAAGCAUAUCAAUAAGCGGAGGAAAAGAAACUAACAAGGAUUCCCCUAGUAACGGCGAGUGAAGCGGGAAAAGCUCAAAUUUGAAACCUGGCCUCUUCGAGGAAAAUGUCGCAGGGUUGUAGUUUAUAGAGGCGUUUUCGAUGGAAUCCUGGGUAUAAGUCUUUUGGAACAAGGCAUCAUAGAGGGUGAGAAUCCCGUCUUUGACUCAGAGUUUUCCAUUAUGUGAUACGUCUUCAUAGAGUCGAGUUGUUUGGGAAUGCAGCUCAAAAUGGGUGGUAAAUCUCAUCUAAAGCUAAAUAUUGGCGAGAGACCGAUAGCGAACAAGUACCGUGAGGGAAAGAUGAAAAGAACUUUGAAAAGAGAGUUAAACAGUACGUGAAAUUGUUGAAAGGGAAACAUUUGAAGUCAGUCAUGCCCUUUGGGAUUCGGCCUUGCUUCUGCUUGGUUUACUUCCUGUUGGGUGGGUCAACAUCAGUUUCGGUCAGAGGAAAAAGGCUUGGGGAAGGUGGCAGCAUUGCGCUGUGUUAUAGCCCCUUGUUGUAUACUUUGACUGGGACUGAGGACCGCAGCGUGCCUUUACGGCCGGGGCUUUGCCCACGUACACGCUUAGGAUGUUGGCAUAAUGGCUUUAAGUGACCCGUCUUGAAACACGG